rnacentral:rRNA from 1 species
UACGUAGGGUGCGAGCGUUGUCCGGAAUACUGGGCGUAAAGCGUGCGCAGGCGGCGCGUUAAGACAGGUGUGAAAGCCCCGAGCUUAACUUGGGAAUUGCGCUUGUGACUGGCGUGCUGGAGUGUGGCAGAGGGAGGUGGAAUUCCACGUGUAGCAGUGAAAAUGCGUAGAGAUGUGGAGGAACACCGAUGGCGAAGGCAGCCUCCUGGGCCAUCACUGACGCUCAUGCACGAAAGCGUGGGGGAGCAAAACAGG